rnacentral:tRNA from 1 species
GGAGAGAUGGUCGAGUGGUUGAAGGCACCGGUCUUGAAAACCGGCAAGGGGGUAACCCCUUCGCGAGUUCGAAUCUCGCUCUCUCCGCCA